UGAGGAAUAUUGCGCAAUGGGCGAAAGCCUGACGCAGCGACGCCGCGUGGACGAUGAAGGUCUUCGGAUCGUAAAGUCCUUUUCUGCGUGACGAGGAAGGACGGUAGCGCAGGAAUAAGUGUCGGCUAACUACGUGCCAGCAGCCGCGGUAAUACGGAGGGUGCAAGCGUUAUCCGGAAUCACUGGGUUUAAAGGGUGCGUAGGCGGUUGUAUAAGUCAGGGGUGAAAGCACGCAGCUUAACUGUGUAAUUGCCUUUGAUACUGUACGGCUUGAAUAGGGUUGAGGUUGGCGGAAUGUGACAUGUAGCGGUGAAAUGCAUAGAUAUGUCAUAGAACACCGAUUGCGAAGGCAGCUGACUGGGCCUAUAUUGACGCUGAGGCACGAAAGCGUGGGGAGCGAAC
rnacentral:rRNA from 1 species